AAAUAUUGAAAAGUUGAGUUAAAUGCAAAACGAGAGUGAAAACAUGCCAAGUAUGAGCUCAAUGACAAAGCAAAACAAAUGGAAGAAGAAAAUAUUGAAGAGGGACUGAAAUGAAGACAAUUGAAAGUUGGAGGACUAAAGCGCAAAUACUCAAAAGAUGUGCCGAAUGAGGGGCAUGAGAAUUGAUGGUAUCAAUCAUCAAUUGGAAGAUAAAAUUUGUUGAAAAGAUGAAGAAAUCGAAGAAAGAAGUCAAGAGAAGCAACAAAGAAGUUCAGGGACCAAAUUGAACAAACCACAUAGAUGGUUACUUCUAUGCGACCGCAUAGUGUAACCUUCUAUGCGGUCGCAUAGAAGGCUUCAGGGGUUCAAUGAGCCCAAAUAAUUUGAACUAUGCGACCGCAUAGAUUCCUUCUAUGCGGUCGCAUAGUUCGUUUCUGAAACCUCGGGCGCAGUUUUUCGUUUUGGUUGAAACUCCUUUCCUACUUAAUUUGGA
rnacentral:lncRNA from 1 species